ACGAGCGCUUGCGGCGUGCCUAAGAAAUGCAAGUCGAGCGGGGAGCUUCGGCUCCUAGCGGCGAACGGUCGCGUAACACGUAAGCAAUCUGCCCCGUAGACCGGGACAACACCUCGAAAGGGGUGCUAAUACCGGAUGGUGUCGCACCGAGGCAUCUUGGUGCAACCAAAUCAGUUUACUGGCUUCGGGAUGAGCUUGCGGCCUAUCAGCUAGUUGGUGGGGUAACGGCCUACCAAGGCGACGACGGGUAGCUGGUCUGAGAGGACGGCCAGCCGGACUGGGACUGAGAUACGGCCCAGACUCCUACGGGGGGCAGCAAUUAGGAAUCUUGCACAAUGGGCGAAAGCCUGAUGCAGCGACGCCGCGUGAGGGAGGAAGUCCUUCGGGAUGUAAACCUCUUUUGUUCAGGACGAAGGAUGUGACGGUACUGAACGAAUAAGCCCCGGCUAACUACGU
rnacentral:rRNA from 1 species